CAAACAACAGUUCUCGUACAAUCACUGAAGUUAAGCAACAUUGAGCCUGGUCAGUACCUAGAUGGAUGACUGCUUCGGAAUAACUGGUGCUGUAAG